UUUUAUUUUGCAUUAAGAAUCCUCUAAAAUUGGAAUGAUAGAAGAUUAGCAUGGCCCCUGUGCAAGGAUGACACGUAAAUUCAUAAAGCGUUCCAUAUUAAA